GACGAACGCUGGCGGCGUGCUUAACACAUGCAAGUCGAACGGAAAGGCCCUGCUUUUGUGGGGUGCUCGAGUGGCGAACGGGUGAGUAACACGUGAGUAACCUGCCCUUGACUUUGGGAUAACUUCAGGAAACUGGGGCUACUACCGGAUAGGAGCUCCUGCUGCAUGGUGGGGGUUGGAUAGUUUCGGCGGUUGGGGAUGGACUCGCGGCUUAUCAGCUUGUUGGUGGGGUAGUGGCUUACCAAGGCUUUGACGGGUAGCCGGCCUGAGAGGGUGACCGGCCACAUUGGGACUGAGAUACGGCCCAGACUCCUACGGGAGGCAGCAGGGGGGAAUAUUGCACAAUGGGCGGAAGCCUGAUGAAGCAACGCCGCGUGCGGGAUGACGGCCUUCGGGUUGUAAACCGCUUUCGCCUGUGACGAAGCGUGAGUGACGGUAAUGGGUAAAGAAGCACCGGCUAACUACGUG
rnacentral:rRNA from 1 species